rnacentral:rRNA from 1 species
GCUAACGCAUUAAACAUUCCGCCUGGGGAGUACGGUCGCAAGAUUAAAACUCAAAGGAAUAGACGGGGACCCGCACAAGUGGUGGAGCAUGUGGUUUAAUUCGAAGAUACGCGAAGAACCUUACCUAGCCUUGACAUAUAUUAGAACUCACCAGAGAUGGAGAGGUGCCUUCGGGAGCUUUUAUACAGGUGCUGCACGGCUGUCGUCAGCUCGUGUCGUGAGAUGUUGGGUUAAGUCCCGCAACGAGCGCAACCCUCGUCACUAGUUACUAACGGUUCGGCCGAGGACUCUAGUGAGACUGCCUUCGUAAGGAGGAGGAAGGUGAGGACGACGUCAAGUCAUCAUGGCCCUUACGGCUAGGGCAACACACGUGCUACAAUGGCCAGGACAAUGAGACGCGAUACCGUGAGGUGGAGCAAAUCUAUAAACCUGGUCUCAGUUCGGAUUGUAGUCUGCAACUCGACUACAUGAAGCUGGAAUCACUAGUAAUCGUAGAUCAGCUAUGCUACGGUGAAUACGUUCCCGGGUCUUGUACUCACCGCCCGUCACACCAUGGGAGUUGAUUUCACCCGAAGCGGGGAAGCUAAACUGGCUACCCUCCACGGUGGAAUUAGCGACUGGGGUGAAGUCGUAACAAGGUAACCAAGGGCGAAUUCG